GUGCUGAUGUAUCGUGGUUUUCCUCUGGAUUUGUUCAUGGCUCAGUGUUACGCCAACGCUGAUGACCUCGGAAAGGGCCGUCAGAUGCCUGUCCACUAUGGCUCCAGAGAUCUGAACUUUGUCACCAUCUGGCCACUCAGAUUCCUCAUGCGGCUGGAGCUGCAUAUGCAGUCAAGAGAGAGAACAUGAACCGUGCUGUAAUCUGUUAUUUCGGAGAGGGAGCAGCCAGCCAAGGAGACGUGCCAAGAAUUGGCCACCACAGCACCAGUGACGACAGCUCAGCUUACCGUUCGGUGGAUGAGGUGAACUACUGGGAUAAGCAGGACCAUCCCAUCUCAAGACUGAGACAUUACAUGACGGCCUGUGACUUUUUUUUUUAGAUUUACUGUCAGAAGUGAAGCACCUAUGUAUGUGCUUAAAAUCACACUUGUUUUCACAGUAAUUUAAAGGUCAUCAAUGUUCUUGUGCAGCAAAAACCUGCUGGUACAGUUUGAAUGCAUUAUGCCUACAGAAGUAACACACAAAUCAAGCAAUAAAUGGUGGAAGUUUA